ensembl:lncRNA
GUCCCAGUGCUCGGGGCCUCCCGUCGCAUGGGCCUCACUGUUUGGGGAUGGGCUUUAGGUUGCAGCAUCUUGGAGUCAAUUAAUUGUAUUGAUGUUGUUAACAUUCUCUGUAAAUUCACGGAAAUUACCAGAUGAAUAUUUGAUGAGGCUAAUUAAGCCUGAAUUACUGCCCCCUCUCCCCCUCUCUUUUCUGCUGUUCUCUCUGGAAUGUGGGUGAGCGUUUGAUUUCCUCAAUUGUCCUGUCCCCAAAGCCUUGGGCUUAGACUUAUAGAACUGUUUGAGUUGGAAGGGACCCUUGAAGGCCAUCUGGUCCAAUGCCCCCCAAUGAGCAGGGACACCUACAGAGUGGGACAAUCCUUUCCCUUGCCCGGUGGCAGUGCUGAGCCUGUUGCUCGCCAGGAUAAAGUUGGCUUUCCUGGCUGGCUGGGUUAUGGUUGACUGACGUUCAAACCCUUUUCCUUCCUCCUGUUCCGCUUGCCAAGCACGGCCUGUGUUAAGGCUAAUGAGUUAAUGAGCCAGGAUAAGUAACAGGGCUUUGUUCUUAGCCUUGUUUUUUUCCCACUUCACCUUUAAAGACACGAAAGGUGAAAAUAAAACAAAAGCAGCUCUGUGGGCAUGCUUCCCCCCCCCCCCUUUUCCCAGGCUUUUCUCCCCCACAUCCACCUCUCCUGCUCCCUGCUGUGCCCUGCCAUGCCCUGAACCUGCCAGCAUUGGGAGCUGACUCUGCUGUCAAGGAUGCCCUUAUCUCCAAGGGUAUGGCUUGCCUUUCGGAUUCAGGAUGGCGUUAAGAUCAAGGCUCUGACUAAUCUCCUCUGAUACGGUAUGCCACGGCAGGGCAGAGGGUCUGACAGCACGGGGCUGCUGCCCGAUUUGUGUUCAUCCCCUCCCCCCAGACACAGCUAUGGAGACACUGCAGGGUCUGCAGAGGGGAGUCCUUCUUUGCACAGAGCAGAUUCAUCCCCCGGGCUGCUCAGCUCUGAGCUCAUGCCCAACAGGAGCUGCACAUUGUAAAACAGGCCAGGUGUGCUGCGGUAAGUGGAGUGACAGGCAGAAAUAAGCACAAAAGAAUUAGAUGGAUAGAUAGGAAUGAGGGAUCAAUAAACCAAGACUAAAGAUAGCAAGAGAGAUGCUCUGAGUGCUGUUCACAGAGAAAUAGAUGUUGCAGGCAAAAAGAUCCUUGAAUCAGAGAAACAUCAAACGGGAGAGAUGAGGCUUUGAGAAGGGUCACUUUAAAUGCACUUCAGUGCUGGGCCAGGAUUAGCCAGACAAUACCUGGCUAAUGCUUCCUCUUUUCUCUUCUUGUUUUAGACCCAAGUGCUAGGACCGGAGCAGCACCACCAGCCCUACUUUCAGCACUUCAUUCAGAACUCCAUCUCAGCAUCAGCCCAUCUCCUCUUCUGCAAUAAUGCCUCCUCCCACCACAGCUCAGCCUGGCUUCACCCCAUCCCAAGGCGAGCUACUGCCCAUCUCCUCCUUCUCCAUAGGCAUCUGGGCACAAAGCUGCUGAAAGAAACCAGCCUAUUCCUCUCUGUGCACAUGGAGAGCCCUUGGGGGACUGGUGGGUGUCUGUUUGGAGGUAGGGGAUCGGGUGAGCCCAUUCUGCCAGUAGAUGCCCGGUGUGGUCCUUCCCCAGGGAGGAAUCUGUGCUGUGGGCGCUUUGUCUGUGGGGCUGCGCUGGAGCCGUUUAUCAGUCCCGAUGCAUAUUUAAUGCCAAAGUGGUGAGCAGAAGCAGAGCAGUGUUUGCAGACAGGCGAGCCGGGGAGCUCUGCCAUGGCUGUUAACAGUCCUGCAUUAAUUAUGAUGGAAUAAAUAAUUCACAGGGCUAAUAACAAAGGCUUGUUUUUAAUGGCGAUGGAAAUCCCGCUGCUCCCGGGAGGCAGCGGAGGAAAUGCUGUGCACUGAACCCAGUGGGCAGCACAGCAAAGCAUGGGGGUCCUGCGUGGUGGCAUUCUGGGGGGGCCCUGCACAACCCUAGGGCAUCGUGGCUCUCCAUGGCACCUGCCUGGAAAGCUUGCAGGAUGAGGGCAGGAGGGAUCAGCUUCUGUGGGACCCACACUUGUGCUGGAACAGCAGGCAGCUCUUCCAUCUCCCACCUGUCUCAUUUUGCCUUGCUUUUUAGCCUUGUGCAGUGGAAGUGCAGAUCCCCAGCUCUGUGCCUUGUCCGGAUGCAGUGGGCACAGCCUGCGUCUUCCCUGUCCUUCCCUCAGGCUGUGUGUCCUUCCCUUCCUUCCCUCCAUAACCUGCUCUUUGACUUCUUUGAACAUUAAUAUGAAUGUUUUCUUGCACCCCUAUUGUCCUUCAGCUUAAAUAGCUUUUUCCCCUCCCUGAUGUUUACCCUCCAGAUGUAUUUAUAGAGAAAAAAAGUCACAUCGAUGCCAGUGUACUUCAUCUGGGCUAAGUGAUAUCUGUUCCCCUCUCCGUGCCAUGUGCCCUGGCUCAGCCCACAGCCCUGCUCUGCUCCUCCUUACCGUCCUUUGUUGUGGGCAUCCUCCUGGCUGGCAUCCAAAGCCACCACGGUGGGUGACUUUGGGCAAACCACGUUGCUUUGCCUGCCUCAGUUCCCCUAUAUAGGGAGAAUGGUGACUCCAUCCUGUGGCAAGGGCUGGCUAUAGGAAAUGUAGGAGCUGUCUGCUUUCCAGUGCUGAUCCUUUAUGGAGGCUCAUUUCAAUACUCUGUGUUUACACCUCAAUGGGACCACAAACCCCGUCCCACCCCAUUGCGGGCAGCUGCAGAAUGGCACAGGCACGGAGCUCUGCACCUACAGAGGAGGUGUUUGCACAGACAAACAGCCACCCUUGGACUGUUCCCAUCCAAAGAGGUGUUUUAGAGGAGACCGGGACAGCCCCCAGCACAGGCUGUUGACACAGGAGAAUGCAGCAGAUUUCACCUAGAAAGGGGCUGUUUGAACAGAACAGCACAGCUCAGAAGUGCUUAUGUCUGGAGAGUGGAUGUUUACACAGGGGAAUAAAGCAUCCGCCUUGCUAUUAGAGCACAAAACAAAUGUUUGCCCAGGUAAGCACAGAGCCCAAGCUCCGGUUUGGCAUUGGGUCUGUAGCUCUCAAUGAGCACAGCCGCUGUUGGGCUCUCCCAGGUCCCCGCUGUGCUGGGGGAUGGGGUGCAUGGCUCACCCACAGCCAAAGCCACCUCUUCUCAGCCGGCUCAAGAAUUAAGCACCAUUCAGCACACGCUGGUGAAAAAUUGCUUUUAAUUCCUUUUUCUUUCCAUUAGACAUGCUCUCUC